rnacentral:rRNA from 1 species
AAAGCUUAAGCCAUGCAAGUCUCAGUACGAGCUUACUUAAAGUGAAACCGCAAAAGGCUCAGUAAACCGGUCAUAGUUUACCGGAUAUAUGCCACUGACGUGGAUAACUGUGGUAAUUCUAGAGCUAAUACAUGCAAAAAAGUCCCGACCAGAGAUGGAGAGGACGCUUUUAUUGGAACAAAACCAUUCGCCCGGCUCGCCCGGGCGUUUGCCUGAUGAAUCUAUGUAACACCACAGAUCGCACGGUCAUUGUACCGGCGACAUAUCCUUCAAAUGUCUGACUUAUCAGCUGUCGAUGGUAGACUCUUUGUCUACCAUGGCGCUCACGGGUGACGGGGAAUCAGGGUUCGAUUCCGGAGAGGGAGCCUGAGAAACGGCUACCACAUCCAAGGAAGGCAGCAGGCACGCAAAUUACCCACUCCCGGCACGGGGAGGUAGUGACAAAAAAUAACGAUACGGGACUCAUCCGAGGCCCCGUAAUCGGAAUGAGAACACCCUAAAUCCUUUAACGAGGAUCUAUUGGAGGGCAAGUCUGGUGCCAGCAGCCGCGGUAAUUCCAGCUCCAAUAGCGUAUAUUAAAGUUGUUGCGGUUAAAAAGCUCGUAGUUGGUUCUGCGUGCCACGCUGUCGGUUCACCGCCUGCCGGUGCAACUGGCAUGCCGUGGCAUGUCCUGUCGGUGGCGGAUAGGCUUCUCGGAGUGCCCCAUGCGGCUUCGGUCAUGUGGGUUGUCGCUCCGCGUUGUCCUUGUAAGCCGGCUCAAUCCUACCGCGGUGCUCUUUACCGAGUGUCGAGGUAGGCCGACAAUGUUUACUUUGAACAAAUUAGAGUGCUUAAAGCAGGCUCUUGAAUCAGCCUGAAUAGUGGUGCAUGGAAUAAUGGAACAGGACCUUGGUUCUAUUUUGUUGGUUUUAAGAAUCCAAGGUAAUGAUCAAUAAGGACAGGCGGGGGCAUUCGUAUUGCGACGUUAGAGGUGAAAUU